rnacentral:sRNA from 1 species
UUUUUUCCCUUCCUUCCUGCUAUGUACAAAUCAUUGGUUAGAAGUUACUAUUUAUCAUGGAAACUGCAGAGAGGGCCCCCUACUCCCCAUUUAUCUGCAUCUGUCUCAAAAGGAAGCAAGAAUUAAUUCAGCAGGGAUUAGUUAAAAAAAAAAAGACCCAUAUUGAGACAACUGCCGAUUUAGAACUAUCCUGAAGAUUAUUGGUUUAAUAGAGUGGAAAAAACCACGCACGUAUAUUAGUUUUGAUGGAGGAUAGACAGGAGAACAGGAGUAUGUGUAAAGAAUCGCUGACUGACUUAAAUAGGCUUAAGUAAUUUAAACCGGCCCCCAGUGAGGCUUCCACGGUGCGUUCUGUAUCGUCUAAAUUUCUAAAUACCUGGCAUAGAUUUGUAAAUGCGGCAGUCUAAUGUGUUAUUGGGCAGCAAUUCGAGUUUAAAUGAGCAUGUGGGAUGGUUUAACAGCUGAUUGCACAGCGUGAAUGACUGCAGCGGAACUGUCAGGUUGGGAAGCGGUGCUGGUAGGGGAAUUCAUGCAGUUAGCACCCAGAGUCGCGCAUGCGUGUUACUUAGCGCAGAGACCUAGGAACUUAGCCCAGGUCUCUUGAUACAAAAGGGAAAUGGAGGGCAAGAAGGGAGGAUUGGAGUCUGAUUUGAGGGGCAGCAUAAAACUUGUCUCUGCCUGCAUGCAACCUUCACCUCUUCUGUGAGUCAUCCAUGGGGCGCCCUGGCCACUCAGCACUGCACCUCUUGUAGGAAGCGGUCGAUCUGAGAUCACAGCGCACACGUGAAGGUCAGAUGACAACUUGCAGGGGUCAGUUCUCUUCCUCCACCACGUGGCUCCCAGGGGAAGGGGACCUCAGGCUUGUCAGGCGCCGGAGGGAAUCAGAACUAGAUUCCACUUGGUAAGCGGACGCGGCGAUGAAGACAGGAAUCAACACCACUGUUGAAACGGACCGACAGGAUCCAGCAUAGCUCAUCCCAUGGCUCCCUGCCACUGCGUUUAUAAUCCAUUCCCCUGCCCCCCCCCCCCAAACUGUAUAAAAGCCAUUGGCAAGGACAGUCGCCACAAACAGCAGGCAAACGGAGACCGAAGAGCUGAGCCAACAAGGAUCUCCACUACCCUCUAAUCCGGCCUGCACCAAACAAAACACAACUCGGUAGGAAACACCAUGAGUGAACAGAAGCCUCACUGGAGAGCUCACUGUGGAUGAAUGCCAGGUGACUAUUGGUGCCCAUCGCCAAGGACUUACUUUUCCCUGUUUAAGGACACAUACAGGGUUAGGGGGAAAGACUCUCUGGCAAUUACAGAGUCUGGUCUUGGUUAAGACGGGGCUUAGCAUCAACACUAUUAUAUUUUCUCUAUCCAAGCACCUGUUUGAGAAGAUUCCAAACUGUAUAAAUGAUUUCAGACUUAUUUCAAUUAAAUUUUUAUUCCCCUUCUAGGGGAAUUAGGGGGUCUCUCUUCUCCUUUGGUGAGCAUAAAACAAUACCCUUCUAGUCCCGAGUUGUCAUGGAGCCCUGGAACCCUGGUCUGGUCCUUUCACUCUCCCUGCCUACCCUGGGGGAUUCCACUCUAGGCUGUCUUCUGCCUAAAUGGCAGAGUCCCACGAUUGCUAAGCUAGCUGCCUCUGGGAACUGGAUGGAUUCCAUGCUGGUUAAUCCUGAUCGUCAGCAUCCUGGGCUCUAGAAUCACCUGGAAGACCAAUCUCUGUGUAAGUCUGUGAAGUGUUUUCUGGAUGGUUGAUGGAGGCAGAAAGAUGCAGCCUUGGUGAGAGA